GCUCCAGUGGCGCAAUUGGUUAGCGCACGGUACUUAUAAUCAGUAACUGUGUAUGAGCAAUGCCGGGGUUGUGAGUUCGAGCCUCACCUGGAGCA
rfam:Drosophila mojavensis strain TSC#15081-1352.22 Ctg01_11468, whole genome shotgun sequence.